UUGAAAAAAAAAAAAAAAAAAAAAAAAAAAAAAAAAAAAAAAAAAA
rnacentral:ribozyme from 13 species